UGGGGGAUAUUGGACAAUGGGCGAAAGCCUGAUCCAGCCAUGCCGCGUGUGUGAAGAAGGUCUUCGGAUUGUAAAGCACUUUAAGUUGGGAGGAAGGGCAUUAACCUAAUACGUUAGUGUUUUGACGUUACCGACAGAAUAAGCACCGGCUAACUCUGUGCCAGCAGCCGCGGUAAUACAGAGGGUGCAAGCGUUAAUCGGAAUUACUGGGCGUAAAGCGCGCGUAGGUGGUUUGUUAAGUUGGAUGUGAAAGCCCCGGGCUCAACCUGGGAACUGCAUCCAAAACUGGCAAGCUAGAGUACGGUAGAGGGUGGUGGAAUUUCCUGUGUAGCGGUGAAAUGCGUAGAUAUAGGAAGGAACACCAGUGGCGAAGGCGACCACCUGGACUGAUACUGACACUGAGGUGCGAAAGCGUGGGGAGCAAACA
rnacentral:rRNA from 1 species